rnacentral:rRNA from 1 species
GCAAGUCGAACGGCAGCACGGGAGCUUGCUCCUGGUGGCGAGUGGCGAACGGGCGAGUAAUGCGUCGGAACGUACCGAGUAAUGGGGGAUAACGCAGCGAAAGCUGUGCUAAUACCGCAUACGCCCCGAGGGGGAAAGCAGGGGAUCGCAAGACCUUGCGUUAUUCGAGCGGCCGACGUCUGAUUAGCUAGUUGGUGGGGUAAAGGCCUACCAAGGCGACGAUCAGUAGCGGGUCUGAGAGGAUGAUCCGCCACACUGGAACUGAGACACGGUCCAGACUCCUACGGGAGGCAGCAGUGGGGAAUUUUGGACAAUGGGGGGAACCCUGAUCCAGCCAUUCCGCGUGAGUGAAGAAGGCCUUCGGGUUGUAAAGCUCUUUCAGCUGGAAAGAAACGGUGCGCUCUAACAUAGCGUGCUAAUGACGGUACCAGCAGAAGAAGCACCGGCUAACUACGUGCCAGCAGCCGCGGUAAUACGUAGGGUGCGAGCGUUAAUCGGAAUUACUGGGCGUAAAGCGUGCGCAGGCGGAUUGUUAAGCAAGAUGUGAAAUCCCCGGGCUUAACCUGGGAAUGGCAUUUUGAACUGGCAGUCUAGAGUGUGUCAGAGGGGGGUGGAAUUCCACGUGUAGCAGUGAAAUGCGUAGAUAUGUGGAGGAACACCAAU